ACCAGACUCCUACGGGAGGCAGCAGUGGGGAAUAUUGCACAAUGGGGGAAACCCUGAUGCAGCAACGCCGCGUGAGUGAAGAAGUAUUUCGGUAUGUAAAGCUCUCUCAGCAGGGAAGAGAAUGACGGUACCUGACUAAGAAGCCCCGGCUAACUACGUGCCAGCAGCCGCGGUAAUACGUAGGGGGCGAGCGUUAUCCGGAUUUACUGGGUGUAAAGGGAGCGUAGACGGUUCUGCAAGUCUGAAGUGAAAGCCCGUGGCUUAACCGCGGAACGGCUUUGGAAACUGUGGAACUGGAGUGCUGGAGAGGCAAGCGGAAUUCCUAGUGUAGCGGUGAAAUGCGUAGAUAUUAGGAGGAACACCAGUGGCGAAGGCGGCUUGCUGGACUGUAACUGACGUUGAGGCUCGAAAGCGUGGGGAGCGAACAGGAUUAGAUACCCCUGUA
rnacentral:rRNA from 1 species